rnacentral:tRNA from 1 species
GCGGGUGUCGUCUAAUGGUAGGGCCUCAGCUUCCCAAGCUGAAGACGGGGGUUCGAUUCCCCUCACCCGCUCCA